GGGAGGUUGAACAUCCUGCAUAGUGCUGCCAGGAAAUCCCUAUUUCAUACUAAGAGGGGGCUGGCUGGUUGCAUAUGUAGGAUGUCCCAUCUCCCAGCCCACUUCGUCA
rnacentral:pre_miRNA from 1 species